CAGCGGCCCGGCUGCAGACCCAGCCCAGCGGCGGGGUUUGACUCAGCACAUAGGCACGGUCCCUGAAAUCAGAUCGUGGCUCUCGAGCUACGAGCGACCCACCCCCGCCCCACCCUCCGUCACCCAGGCGGCAGCCGCAGAGGCAGCUGCGGCGCUCCAACCCGACAAGCGUCCCAAGGAGGUGCAGCCCCGGGGAAGCUGGCGACCCUCCCGAGCUGGGAGAAAGACAAACUUCCUCUCGCCCGCACUGCCCCCACGUCCACCGCUGCCCUGGGGGCCCCCUUCGAAGGCGAGGUCACGGCCCGUUUGGUGGUGGCUUGACCGGGGCGUCCCAGAGGAGCCAGCAAGCCCUCGCCUCCUCUGUGGGGUGUUUGCCAAGGACAGCUGGGCUCUGCGCUGCUUGCAGCCGCUGCUCCAGGAAGUCGGCCCCAAGCAGGCUUGCAGGAUUCACUAUAGAAUCCCUGCCUUUCCCCAGAGCCUGCCGGUGUUCUGCGCAGGGCCCUGCCUCGCCUUCCCACGGAGGGACGCGAAGACCCCGGGGUCUCUUCUUUCAGUUUCGCUCCAAGGUGCAGCCGCUUUCCCGGCAGCGGGACGUCUUUUAAUUGGGGACAUGUAUAUGGAUGAGGAUGGCACUCCGCCAGCAAGCCCCAGGUGGGAAGCAUGCCCUCCGGAGGGAGCUGUGCCUAGAACGUCGAAGACAGCAGGAGGAGCUGAAGGCUCUGACAAGGCCGUCAUGUAAAAACAGCAUUAAGGAUCAUGACCUUUUCCCUCGAAUGGACCCAUUUUCGUCUUUUAAUUCCACAAUCAGAGGGAAUGAGCAAUGAAGGGGGAGGAAGGCUGCCUUAUGCGUUCUAGGAUGUUUAGCACCUGCAUACACACAUCCAUAGGGACAGCCAAAUGUCUCCAGACAUUGCUAAAUGCCCCUUGCCAGGGAGUGGCAAAGUCAAAGUCAGAACCUCUGCCUCAAAGGAAGAACAUGGAUCCCCUUUAUCUGUACAUUCUAGGGGCCUAGCACAAGCCCUCUGUGCUGAAAACAUCUCUGAAUUAUCCCAAUCGCCACAUCGAUGCAAUCAUUUUAAAGAUGAAGCAAUUCUGCUGUCUGGAGGACCUAUGCUUCCCCAAGGCCAUAAAAGAAUGGUGGGUCUUGCUAUUUUGUCCAGGUUGGGCUGAACUUGUGAUCCUUCUGCCUCAGCCUCCUGAGUAGCUGGGACUACAGACAUUUACCACUGCAGCCAGCUAAGACUUUUUUUUUAAGUAGGACCUCUGCUUCUGGCCUUAAGAAUAAUGAGUAUUAGGCUGGCAGCCUGUGCACAACCCCAGACCCACACCACAGCAUGGAUUGUGAUCUCUCAGGGAAGAUAAGCUAAUAAGGUAAGCCCUGGGAUCACCCAGGCCUGCUGUGUGGAGGCACUUUGCAGACCAUGGGGCAGAGAAGGAACCCCAAGGAGAGCACAGUCAUCUCACUGAGUUGGGGAGUCAGAGACUGGAAUUCAGGAGGAGGCUACUGGACUCUACGAAGAAGAGUACUGAAAAGGAGGAAACUACACAGAGAAAGAGUUCCAGAGAGCUAUGCAGAAGUCUUCUUGAGCCUUUUGCCAAAUACUAAAUGGGCAUGUGCAGAUGAAACUCCAAGAGCUAGGCAAAAUAUGCUGAAGAAAGAGCAACUUGCAGGGCUAGGGGGUAAUUCAGGGGCUGUAAGACAAACAAUUCCCAAAGUCACACAGAGCUGUGAAACAUUAAAGUUUCAACCAACAAUAGUGAAGAGACCUCACUGAACCAACCCUGGAAGGGCCAGAUCUUGGUAGCACUAAACUAGCCACAGACCUAAGACUGCUGUAGACCUGCCUUAACAAAGAAACUGACCUGAGCUAUCUAACAUGGCAGCCAUUAGCCACGUGUGACUAAUAAACACUUGAAAUAUGGCUAGUCCAAACUGAAAUGUCCCUGAAAUAUAAAAUGCAGACCAGAUUUCUAAGAAUUUGUAUGAAAAAAAGAAUGUAAAUUAUCUCGUGAAUAGUUUUUAUAUAUUGAUUUCAUGUUGAAAUGAUCAUAUUUUGCUAUAAUGGAUUAAAUAAAAUAUAUUAUUAAAAAUAAUUUUACCUUUUUUUACUUUUUUUUUUUUUGAGACGGAGUCUCACUACGUCACCCAGGCUGGAAUGCAAUGGCACGAUCUCGGCUCACUGCAACCUCCACCUCCUGGGUUCAAGUGAUUCUCCUGUCUCAGCCUCCCAAGUAGUUAGGAUUACAGGCACCCACCACCACGCCGGAUAAUUUUUAUAUUUUUAGUAGAGAGGGGUUUCGCCAUGUUGGUCAGGCUGGUCUCGAAAUCCUGACCUUGGGUGAUUCACCUGCCUCAGCCUCCCAAAAUGCUGGGAUUACAGGUGUGAGCCACUGCGCCCAGCCUUUUACUUUUUUAAUGUGGCUACUAUUACAUUUUAAGUUUUGUGUGGCUUGCCUUUGUGGCUACUAGGAGCGAUAUCCUAGAAGCUAUAAAGGAAAAGUUUGAUGAACUUUAUUUAACAAAAAUGUAAAAGUUCUGCAAGGCAAGUGAUAUGGUUUGGCUGUGUCCCCACCCAAACCUCAUCUUGAUUGGUAGCUCGCAUAAUUCCUCUGUGUCAUGGGUGAGACCCAGUGGGAGGUAAUUGAAUCAUGGGGUGGGUUUUUCCCAGGCUGUUCACAUGAUAGUGAAUAAGUUUCAUGAGAUCUGAUGGUUUUAUAAAGGGCAGUUCCCCUGCACAUGCGCUCUUGCCUGCCACCAUGUAAGAUAUGCCUUUGCUCCUCCUUCACCUUCUGCUAUGAUUAUGAGGCCUCCUCAGCCAUGUGGAACUAUGAGUCAAUUAAACCUCUUU
rnacentral:lncRNA from 10 species